rnacentral:rRNA from 1 species
GAUGAACGCUGGCGGCGUGCCUAAUACAUGCAAGUCGAGCGAACGGACGAGAAGCUUGCUUCUCUGAUGUUAGCGGCGGACGGGUGAGUAACACGUGGAUAACCUACCUAUAAGACUGGGAUAACUUCGGGAAACCGUAGCUAAUACCGGAUAAUAUUUUGAACCGCAUGGUUCAAAAGUGAAAGACGGUCUUGCUGUCACUUAUAGAUGGAUCCGCGCUGCAUUAGCUAGUUGGUAAGGUAACGGCUUACCAAGGCAACGAUGCAUAGCCGACCUGAGAGGGUGAUCGGCCACACUGGAACUGAGACACGGUCCAGACUCCUACGGGAGGCAGCAGUAGGGAAUCUUCCGCAAUGGGCGAAAGCCUGCCGGAGCAACGCCGCGUGAGUGAUGAAGGUCUUCGGAUCGUAAAACUCUGUUAUUAGGGAAGAACAUAUGUGUAAGUAACUGUGCACAUCUUGACGGUACCUAAUCAGAAAGCCACGGCUAACUACGUG